GCUUGGGUAGCUCAGUUGGUAGAGCACUUGCCCGCAAAAGGCAAAGGUCCCGAGUUCGAGUCUCGGUCCGGGACA
rnacentral:tRNA from 1 species